rnacentral:misc_RNA from 1 species
GAUGAAGAACGUAGCGAAAUGCGAUACGUAAUGUGAAUUGCAGAAUUCAGUGAAUCAUCGAAUCUUUGAACGCAUAUUGCGCUCUCUGGUAUUCCGGAGAGCAUGCUUGUUUGAGUAUCAGUAAACACCUCAACUCCCUUUUCUUUUUUGAAAUGGGAGCUGGACUUGAGUGAUCCCAACACUUUUCUCACUGGAAAGUGGCGGGUCACUUGAAAUGCAGGUGCAGCUGGACUUUUCUCUGGGCUAUAAGCAUAUCUAUUUAGUCUGCCUAAAAAACAGAUUAUUACCUUUGCUGCAGCUAACAUAAAGGAGAUGAGUUCUUGUGCUGACUGAUGCAGGAUUCACAGAGACAGCUUUGCGGCUGACUUCGUAAACUCGAUCUCAAAUCAAGUAAGACUACCCGCUGAACUUAAGCAUAUCAAUAAGCGGAGGA